GAUGAACGCUGGCGGCGUGCCUAAUACAUGCAAGUCGAGCGAACGGACGAGAAGCUUGCUUCUCUGAUGUUAGCGGCGGACGGGUGAGUAACACGUGGAUAACCUACCUAUAAGACUGGGAUAACUUCGGGAAACCGGAGCUAAUACCGGAUAAUAUUUUGAACCGCAUGGUUCAAAAGUGAAAGACGGUCUUGCUGUCACUUAUAGAUGGAUCCGCGCUGCAUUAGCUAGUUGGUAAGGUAACGGCUUACCAAGGCAACGAUGCGUAGCCGACCUGAGAGGAGGAUAGGCAACAAUGGAACGGAGCAACGGUCCAGACACCUGCGGGAGGCGACAGUCGGGAAUUUGGGGCAAUGGGUGAAGACUCGAAACAGCAAUGCGGAGUGAGGGAGGAAGGUGUUCGGAUUGUAAAACACUUUAAGGUGGGAAGAACGGAAGUAAGCGAAAAUCUACCUGUGUUGACGGUACCUAAGGAGAAAGCACCGGCUAAUCUGGUG
rnacentral:rRNA from 1 species